UACGUAGGGUGCGAGCGUUAAUCGGAAUUACUGGGCGUAAAGCGUGCGCAGGCGGUUCGUUGUGUCUGCUGUGAAAUCCCCGGGCUCAACCUGGGAAUGGCAGUGGAAACUGGCGAGCUUGAGUGUGGCAGAGGGGGGUGGAAUUCCGCGUGUAGCGGUGAAAUGCGUAGAUAUUCGGAGGAACACCAGUGGCGAAAGCGACUUUCUGGGACGUUCCUGACGCUGAGGUUCGAAAGCUCGGGGAGCAAACAGG
rnacentral:rRNA from 1 species